GACUUGGUGGUGUAAUGGUAACAUACCUACUUAUAUUCAUCUGAAAAUGCGUACUAAACAGGAGUUCUCUGUUCAACUCAGGGCUGGGUCA